CCUACGGGAGGCAGCAGUAGGGAAUCUUCCGCAAUGGACGAAAGUCUGACGGAGCAACGCCGCGUGAGCGAUGAAGGCCUUCGGGUCGUAAAGCUCUGUUGUCAGGGAAGAACAAGUAUCGGAGUAACUGCCGGUACCUUGACGGUACCUGACCAGAAAGCCACGGCUAACUACGUGCCAGCAGCCGCGGUAAUACGUAGGUGGCAAGCGUUGUCCGGAAUUAUUGGGCGUAAAGCGCGCGCAGGCGGUUCCUUAAGUCUGAUGUGAAAGCCCCCGGCUCAACCGGGGAGGGUCAUUGGAAACUGGGGAACUUGAGUGCAGAAGAGGAGAGCGGAAUUCCACGUGUAGCGGUGAAAUGCGUAGAGAUGUGGAGGAACACCAGUGGCGAAGGCGGCUCUCUGGUCUGUAACUGACGCUGAGGCGCGAAAGCGUGGGGAGCGAACAGGAUUAGGUACCCUGGUAGUCCACGCCGUAAACGAUGAGUGCUAAGUGUUAGAGGGUUUCCGCCCUUUAGUGCUGCAGCAAACGCAUUAAGCACUCCGCCUGGGGAGUACGGCCGCAAGGCUGAAACUCAAAGGAAUUGACGG
rnacentral:rRNA from 1 species